rnacentral:rRNA from 1 species
UACGGAGGGGGCUAGCGUUGUUCGGAAUUACUGGGCGUAAAGCGCGCGUAGGCGGAUCUGCAAGUCGGGGGUGAAAUCCCGAGGCUCAACCUCGGAACUGCCUUCGAUACUGCGGGUCUCGAGUCCGGGAGAGGUGAGUGGAAUUCCUAGUGUAGAGGUGAAAUUCGUAGAGUAUUAGGAAGAACACCGGUGGCGAAGGCGGCAUCCUGGACCGGUAUUGACGCU